UUGGAUUCCUGUGUAAUAUGUAGCUUGCCCUUGACACUCAAUGGACUCUGAUAAUAGAAAAGGUGCUGAAAGCAGUGUUCACAAGGCAUGUCAAGGAGGGGAAAUAACGAAAGCUGCAUUGCACUGUUGCAGCACAAGUCUCACCUUUUCCAAGCCUUACACAAACCACAUGUGAGGGGUUCAACAGCAUCCUUUUCCAGAAUCUGGGAGAAGAGCCAGGUUUCUUCUGGAACAGCAUUAAGGUGGCAGCCACAUGGAUUUCUCUUCCAGACGGCAGGCACUGUGACAAAGAAGGCACACUUCCUGGGUACCGAUAGAUGGCACUGAUUGAUUGAAGGGACCCGCAGCACAUUGACUGUGCCCUACCUUACCAGACAGGCAGAAACCAUAAAAGGUAGGCAGUUCCUCAAAUAGGCAGGCCCUAUGUCAUGCAUCAUUUCAUAGAUAAUAAUCAGCUCCUUGAAUUGCACCUGGAAGCCCACUGGUGAUGUUGAAAAGUGGAGAGUACCAGUUAGAUAAUGUACUAGCUGGAUAGUUUUUUUAGUUAGGGAUUAUGUUUACAUCCAGACAAUGCAGGAUACUGAUAUAGAGCUAUGUGUAUUAAUUAGACUAAUGUAUGAAAUAUCUGCCAUCAAUUAUACUAUAUAUUGCCUGGGCUGUAUCUCCUGACACAAUUUCCCUUCUUAUAUGAGUCUGUAAAACACAGGUAUUUGUUCAUUUUUCACCUGCUUACUGACAUUUAUGCAGACAUAUGGAACUUCUAGAAACAUGGCUGGACAUAUACGUGAAAUAGCUGUUCAACCCUGUCAAAUGAUCAAUCUGCUUCUUCAGUCAUGGAAUCCUAGAGCAUUGCUGUGAAGGUGAGUAUCCUUGCAAGAAUUAAUUAAAUAAUUAAAUUCAACAUUUGGUUGAUUGCCAGGAAGGAAGUAGCCAUCUGUCCAUAGAACUGGAGAAGGCUAUAGUCAUGAACUACAGAUGGGAUAUGAAGAUCAUUUUCCUUUGGAGAAAUCUCAGGUGAAGAAGAAAACAUCAUGGGAUAACAGUGGCCUUAAGUUUUUCCAAAGAAUGAUAGCUGAUGGUAUGAUCUAUCUGCUAGUAUCUCUCUUGUUCUUUUUGAAACAGUGGGGGCAAUUGAC